rnacentral:lncRNA from 10 species
ACCGCGGCGCUGGGGGUUCCUCCCGGCGAGACUGGCGGGGCUGCGGCGGCUAGGAGAGUGAUGCCAUGGAGCACAGUGGUGGAUAAGGAAGACAUGGUCUGGCCGUAACAAUUUUGAAAUCUAAUGAAGCAGAUUAAAAAGUCAAUGGAAGCAUUUGAGAAAAAAACACCUUUCAAAGUGAAACUGUAUUAUGUUACUGGAACAUUUGUUAAAAAUCUAUUAACCUCUAAGAAGCCAAGAACAGAAAUUCAGCAAUAAAAGGUAAACGUACUCUCAGAAACCACCUCUGGCCUGAAAAGGGGCCGACUGAAACAUAUACCUAUUUGAAGAUCCCUGGCACACAGAUACAGCAGAAGAAGCCCAAAUGGUUUUUGUGGAGCCUUUCGGAUUUUUUUAUAUAAAAGAGUCCUGUUCUGUUGUCCAGGCUGGAGUUCAGUGGCGAGAUCUUGGCUCACUGCAACCUCCGCCUCCCAGGUUUAAGCGAUUCUCAUGCCUCAGCCUUCUAAGUAGCUGGGACUAAAGACAGAGUCUUUCUGUGUUGCCCAAGCUGGAGUGCAGUGGUGCUCGUCUCACUGCAAC